AUUAACUAUGAUACUAUAGACUUGCAAUACCUUUUUCACUAUUCGAUAGUCUUGACUCCUCCGUAGGCAUCGCCUUAGAUGGGCAGACCAAGUUUGGUUCCAGCCACAGCAACACAUGUGACCCAUGAGCUAGAUGCCUUAGGAGGAAGGAGGCUAUGGCUAGUUUUGGCUCAAGAGUUUAAAUUAAGUUACAGUUUAAUAAUACCACUA
rnacentral:lncRNA from 1 species